CCGCCAGCAUACGACGUCAUCACGUCAGAUGACGUAACCUAAUAGUUUUCAUUCACUGAUAAUAAGAAAAAUGUGCUUUGAAAGUCAUUUCCCCCGAGAGCACGUCCUGGGACAGGAUCAUAUGCACAUUGGCUCUGUUUCUCUUCCAACAAACACCUUUAAUGGAGAACUCUACUGCCACCUUUUCCUAUGAAUGGGAAUAUUACUAUGAUUACAUUGAUCCUGUGAUUGUGGAUGAAAGCAAACUAAAAUACAAUAAAUAUUCAAUCGUCAUAUUAUUUUGGAUAUUUUUGGCUGCCUUUGUGGGAUUCCUCUUUCUCUUUUUGAAUCUUAUGUCUAGAAGCUCGAACCCAUUAAGGAGCCACAGAUCCAAAGUCAAAGGAGGUGGAAUAUCAACAGCCUGAUCAGACGCUGGCUCUUGCUGAAAACAGGAAGGAUUCCCAAAACAACUUUUAGUUCUUUAGUUGAGCUCAGGAUUUAAAUUUUACACACUGAGCAGUGAGUUUAAAGUCAGAAUUCAAAGGAAAAAUGUCCGACUUAGAGAUUAUUUCCAUAAU